UACAGAGGGUGCAAGCGUUAAUCGGAAUUACUGGGCGUAAAGGGCUCGUAGGCGGCCAACUAAGUCAGACGUGAAAUCCCCAGGCUCAACCUGGGAACUGCGUCUGAUACUGGAUGGCUUGAAUCCGGGAGAGGGAUGCAGAAUUCCAGGUGUAGCGGUGAAAUGCGUAGAUAUCUGGAGGAAUACCGGUGGCGAAGGCGGCAUCCUGGACCGGCAUUGACGCUGAGGAGCGAAAGCCAGGGGAGCAAAUGGG
rnacentral:rRNA from 1 species